CUAACCAGGGAAUUUAAAGUUUAAAAAAAAAAAAAUCCCCAAUCAGAAAAUAUCAAAGAUGUUCCCAAUAGUCCCUGAGACUUAUUAUAUAUUUACAAUGGUUCCAAAUUGUGAAAUCAUUUCACUGCAGUUUCAGACUUAAUUCCUAAUCUUAGAAGGUUUCUAAUUUCCCUUCCUCCUGACACAGAUCAUUUGUUUUUGGCUACCUUCUGGCUUUUUUCCCACUUGUCCUCAGUGGCAAGUGUACUACUUUUGCUUUUUAUUUUUUUUCCUAUUUAUGGUUUAAAA